GUGGUGUAGGUUGGUCAUGCCUCCGGUAUGUGCUGGCCUCACUGAUUCCUCCUUCCUGAUGAACCGUAAUGCCAUUAAUUUGGUGUUGCGGGAGAUUUGGACUGUUACUUUGAAAAAUUAGAGUGUUUAAAGCAAGCUAACGCUUGAAUACAUUAGCAUGGAAUAAUGAAAUAGGACGUUCGAUCCUAUUUUGUUGGUUUCUAGGAUUGACGUAAUGAUUAAUAGGGAUAGUUGGGC
rnacentral:rRNA from 1 species